GACGAACGCUGGCGGCGUGCUUAACACAUGCAAGUCGAACGAAGAGCGAUGGAAGCUUGCUUCUAUCAAUCUUAGUGGCGAACGGGUGAGUAACGCGUAAUCAACCUGCCCUUCAGUGGGGGACAACAGUUGGAAACGACUGCUAAUACCGCAUACGAUCUAAUCUCGGCAUCGAGGAUAGAUGAAAGGUGGCCUCUACAUGUAAGCUAUCACUGAAGGCGGGGAUUGCGUCUGAUUAGCUAGUUGGGGGGGUAACGGCCCACCAAGGCGAUGAUCAGUAGCCGGUCUGAGAGGAUGAACGGCCACAUGGGGAAUGAGACACGGCCCAGACUCCUACGGGAGGCAGCAGUGGGGAAUCUUCCGCAAUGGACGAAAGUCUGACGGAGCAACGCCGCGUGAGUGAUGACGGCCUUCGGGUUGUAAAGCUCUGUUAAUCGGGACGAAAGGCCUUCUUGCGAAUAGUGAGAAGGAUUGACGGUACCGGAAUAGAAAGCCACGGCUAACUACGUG
rnacentral:rRNA from 1 species